GACGAACGCUGGCGGCGUGCUUAACACAUGCAAGUCGAACGCAGUGGCGAACGGGUGAGUAACGCGUAAUCAACCUGCUCUUCAGAGGGGGACAACAGGUGGAAACGACUGCUAAUACCGCAUACGGAAGGUGGGGAUUGCGUGUGAUUAGCUGUUUGGAGGGGUAACGGCCCACCAAGGCGAUGAUCAGCUGGCGGGCUUGAGAGAGGAACGGCCAAAAUGGGGCUGAGGCACGGGCCCGAAUCCUUCGGGAGGCAACAAGGGGGAAAUUUCCGGAAUGGACGAAAGUCUGACGGAGCAACGGCGCGGGAGUGAUGACGGGCUUCGGGUUGUAAAGCUCUGGUAAUCGGGACGCGGUACCGGAACAGAAAGCCACGGCUAACUACGUGCCAGCAGCCGCGGUAAUAC
rnacentral:rRNA from 1 species